rnacentral:rRNA from 1 species
GACGAACGCUGGCGGCGUGCUUAACACAUGCAAGUCGAACGGAAAGGCCCUGCUUUUGUGGGGUGCUCGAGUGGCGAACGGGUGAGUAACACGUGAGUAACCUGCCCUUGACUUUGGGAUAACUUCAGGAAACUGGGGCUAAUACCGGAUAGGAGCUCCUGCUGCAUGGUGGGGGUUGGAAAGUUUCGGCGGUUGGGGAUGGACUCGCGGCUUAUCAGCUUGUUGGUGGGGUAGUGGCUUACCAAGGCUUUGACGGUUAGCCGGCCUGAGAGGGUGACCGGCCACAUUGGGACUGAGAUACGUCCCAGACUCCUACGGGAGGCAGCAGGGGGGAAUAUUGCACAAUGGGCUGAAGCCUGAUGCAGCAACGCCGCGUGCGGGAUGACGGCCUUCGGGUUGUAAACCGCUUUCGCCUGUGACGAAGCGUGAGUGACGGUAAUGGGUAAAGAAGCACCGGCUAACUACGUG